rnacentral:rRNA from 1 species
AGCCCUUGACCUAAUCAAAGGUGUAACCUGCCCAAUGAUCUCUAAUUUAAUAAAAAUAAAACUUUUAUAAAGAGAUUUAAAGGACGCAGUAUCCUGACUGUGAUAAUGUAGCAUAAUCAUUCGCCACUUAAUUAGUGGAUAGUAUGAAUGGUUAAACGAAUAUUACACUGUCUCUUAUAGAAAACUCCUAAAAUUAAAAUAAUAGUAAAGAUGCUAUUUUAAAUUGUAAGACGAAAAGACCCUAUAGAGCUUAACUAUAAAUUAUAUUAAUAAAUAUAAAAAAAAAGACUUUUUAUAUUUAUUUUCAAAUAUAAAUUGGUAGUUUGGUUGGGGCGACCAUCUUCUAAAAAAAACGAAGAUAAGCAAAAUUUAAUAAAUCAAUUUAUUGUAUAAUAAAUAUAUUUAACAAUUACAAAAGUAGGCUAUAAUGACCCAUUAGAUCUAUAUAACAAACCUAAUGAUUAAUAAACAAAAGCUACCUUAGGGAUAACAGGAUAAUUUUACUCUAGAGAUCUUAUCGAAAGUAAAGUUUGUCACCUCUAUGUUGAAUUAAGAUAUCCUGAUAAUGCAGCAGUUAUCAAAGGUGGGUCUGUU